AGAUUGAACGCUGGCGGCAUGCCUUACACAUGCAAGUCGAACGGCAGCACGGGAGCAAUCCUGGUGGCGAGUGGCGAACGGGUGAGUAAUACAUCGGAACGUGCCCAAUCGUGGGGGAUAACGCAGCGAAAGCUGUGCUAAUACCGCAUAAGAUCUACGGAUGAAAGCAGGGGAUCGCAAGACCUUGCGCGAAUGGAGCGGCCGAUGGCAGAUUAGGUAGUUGGUGAGGUAAAGGCUCACCAAGCCUUCGAUCUGUAGCUGGUCUGAGAGGACGACCAGCCACACUGGGACUGAGACACGGCCCAGACUCCUACGGGAGGCAGCAGUGGGAAUUUUGGACAAUGGGCGAAAGCCUGAUCCAGCCAUGCCGCGUGCAGGAUGAAGGCCUUCGGUUGUAACUGCUUUGUACGGAACGAAAGUCUCUUUACUAUAAAGAGGAUCAUGACGUACGUAAGAAUAAGACACGGACUAACGUACGUACG
rnacentral:rRNA from 1 species